rnacentral:rRNA from 1 species
UACCAGACUCCUACGGGAGGCAGCAGUGGGGAAUAUUGGGCAAUGGGCGCAAGCCUGACCCAGCAACGCCGCGUGAAGGAAGAAGGCUUUCGGGUUGUAAACUUCUUUUCUCAGGGACGAAGAAAGUGACGGUACCUGAGGAAUAAGCCACGGCUAACUACGUGCCAGCAGCCGCGGUAAUACGUAGGGAGCAAGCGUUAUCCGGAUUUAUUGGGUGUAAAGGGUGCGUAGACGGGAAAUUAAGUUAGUUGUGAAAUCCCUCGGCUCAACUGAGGAACUGCAACUAAAACUGAUUUUCUUGAGUGCAGGAGAGGUAAGUGGAAUUCCUAGUGUAGCGGUGAAAUGCGUAGAUAUUAGGAGGAACACCAGUGGCGAAGGCGACUUACUGGACUGUAACUGACGUUGAGGCACGAAAGUGUGGGGAGCAAACAGGAUUAGAUACCCUAGUA